GGGGCAUUAGCGCAGUUGGGAGCGCACCACACUGGCAGUGUGGGGGUCGUGGGUUCGAAUCCCAUAUGCUCCACCA
rnacentral:tRNA from 1 species